GCUUCCAUGGCUCAGCUGGUAGAGCAACGCAUUCGUAAUGCGUAGGUCGGGGGUUCGAAUCCCCCUGGGAGCU
rnacentral:tRNA from 1 species